rnacentral:rRNA from 1 species
AACGAACGCUGGCGGCAUGCCUAACACAUGCAAGUCGAACGAGACCUUCGGGUCUAGUGGCGCACGGGUGCGUAACGCGUGGGAACCUGCCCUUAGGUUCGGAAUAACUCCCCGAAAGGGGUGCUAAUACCGGAUAAUGUCUUCGGACCAAAGAUUUAUCGCCUUUGGAUGGGCCCGCGUUGGAUUAGCUAGUUGGCAGGGUAAAAGCCUACCAAGGCGACGAUCCAUAGCUGGUCUGAGAGGAUGAUCAGCCACACUGGGACUGAGACACGGCCCAGACUCCUACGGGAGGCAGCAGUGGGGAAUAUUGGACAAUGGGCGAAAGCCUGAUCCAGCAAUGCCGCGUGAGUGAUGAAGGCCUUAGGGUUGUAAAGCUCUUUUACCCGGGAUGAUAAUGACAGUACCGGGAGAAUAAGCACCGGCUAACUCCGUG